rnacentral:rRNA from 1 species
CUUCCUACGGGGGGCAGCAGUGGGGAAUAUUGCACAAUGGGGGGAACCCUGAUGCAGCGACGCCGCGUGGGUGAAGGAGUACUUCGGUACGUAAAGCCCUAUCAGCAGGAAAGAAAAUGACGGUACCUGACUAAGAAGCCCCGGCUAACUACGUGCCAGCAGCCGCGGUAAUACGUAGGGGGCAAGCGUUAUCCGGAUUUACUGGGUGUAAAGGGAGCGUAGACGGAGGAGCAAGUCUGAUGUGAAAAUCCGGGGCCCAACCCCGGAACUGCAUUGGAAACUGUUUAUCUAGAGUGUCGGAGAGG